AACGAACGCUGGCGGCAUGCCUAACACAUGCAAGUCGAACGAGACCUUCGGGUCUAGUGGCGCACGGGUGCGUAACGCGUGGGAACCUGCCCUUAGGUUCGGAAUAACUCCCCGAAAGGGGUGCUAAUACCGGAUAAUGUCUUCGGACCAAAGAUUUAUCGCCUUUGGAUGGGCCCGCGUUGGAUUAGCUAGUUGGUAGGGUAAAAGCCUACCAAGGCGACGAUCCAUAGCUGGUCUGAGAGGAUGAUCAGCCACACUGGGACUGAGACACGGCCCAGACUCCUACGGGAGGCAGCAGUGGGGGAUAUUGGACAGUGGGCGAAAGCCUGAUCCAGCAAUGCCGCGUGAGUGAUGAAGGCCUUAGGGUUGUAAAGCUCUUUUACCCGGGAUGAUAAUGACAGUACCGGGAGAAUAAGCUCCGGCUAACUCCGUG
rnacentral:rRNA from 1 species